GUGGGGAAUUUUGCACAAUGGGGGAAACCCUGAUGCAGCAACGCCGCGUGAGUGAAGAAGGCCUUUGGGUUGUAAAGCUCUUUCGGCUGAGAAGAAGGGCUGUAUGGCUAAUAUCCAUAUAGUUUGACGGUAUCAGAAGAAGAAGCACCUGCUAACUUCGUGCCAGCAGCAGCGGUAAUACGAAGGGUGCAAGCGUUGUUCGGAAUUACUGGGCGUAAAGGGCGCGUAGGCGGGUUUGUAAGUCGAAUGUGAAAUCCCCGGGCUUAACCUGGGACGUGCAUUCGAUACUGCUGAUCUUGAAUGCUUGAGAGGGUGGUGGAAUUCCUAGUGUAGAAGUGAAAUUCGUAGAUAUUAGGAGGAACACCGGAGGCGAAGGCGGCCACCUGGCAAGACAUUGACGCUAAGGCGCGAAAGUGCGGGGAGCAAACAGGAUUAGAAACCCCUGUAGUCC
rnacentral:rRNA from 1 species